GACAACCGGACCAUAAGUUUUGUCGAGCACAUUGUCUCCAACACACGUUGUAUCAGUACAUGUUCAUUACAGCUUAAAGAAUCAAAACAUUCGCGGAGUCCUGGCUUAAGUACCCCUCCUCAGUCACACCUUCUCCAGUGCACCCCCACUCCGACUAAGUCAGUCCCCCUGUCACAUACACUUGUUUCCUCUUCUGUGACACUCUUUUCUCCCACAGGUGAUCACCACCUCACAUGUGCCUCCUCUGCUAGACUGUAAGCUCCAUGUGGGCAGGAGUUGUGCUUGCACAUCUAGGCUGUAGCAUCAUACCUGGCGCAUAAAAGGUGAGUCAAAGGCUUCAGAACCAAGCCAGUCAAGCUACUGAAAUCCUAGGAGAAGUCAAAUCAAGACAGUACAUCUACAUUGAGCUGAAGUAUUUGCAAAGUGCCGUGCUCACAGCUGUGGGAGAUGCAACACCGUGUCAGAUCUGGCGAGAAAAUAGAACAGGAGAGGAAUGGCCACAGGCCAGAGAGAGACUACGGUACGAGUGUAAAAAGUUUGGCUCAAGAACUAUCGAAAAGCAAAAUAGGAGGAAGGAUGUUUCUAGGGGUUCUCUUCUUCCAUAACCUUUUGUGAUGGCUUCUUGCAAAGUGCGGCUUCUGCUCCACAGCUCGGGAGGAGGCUGGCGAGACCGGAGAAGAACAUUCUCUGACACGCAAGGAGGCUUGUGGGCACAGCACCUGCCUUAGGUAAAGCAAACAUCAACUUGAUUGAUGAUCUGGGAGAGCCUGGGGGAAACAAUCAAUAGGUAUUUGUGGGCUGGAUGACUGACAGAUUUUUGAGUAGGGAGUGCAUGAUGAAAGGUAUUGUACCAAGACUAUUUUGGAGGUGUUGUGUGGGAGAACAGAGGGACUAAGGCCCCUCUGAUAAGUAGGGGGUGGGGGGAAAUCAGCCAUCUGCUCUGAUGGGCCGGCCGUGCCCAAGCAUCCACAUCGGGUAACACCUGACCUUGCCAUCCCUCCUCGCUCUAUCACCUAGCAUCAGGUAGCUUAGGGUGCCUCGAGCACUCAUGAUUAUUGGAGCAGAUUAUUAUUUCUCUGCUGCUUCUGAGAGCUGGAAGAAUAUACACUGGGGGAGGGAAGUAUGGAAAAAAAAAAUAAGGGGCAGAGAGGACAACAUUAAAAAAAAGUAACUUAAAGAAAAAAUGGAUGAGUUGGAGAGUAGGGUGUCAGUCAUUCUUUUCGUUUUGGUCUGUUUUUAAUUUUCUGAUAAUUACUAUUUGUGUGGUUGGGGAUAAGGAACUAUCUGCCUUGUACUUUUGUUUCUGUUUCUGUAUGGCAAACUUCAUUCUUAUUUUUAAUGGCUUUUCAAGCUGUGAAGAAACUUUAUCGAGUAUCCAGCAGCAAGAGCAGAGCCAAGACUGGAGAACAGGUCUUUCUUGCUCCAAGACUUGUCCUGAUUCGCUGCCUUGGCGGCUGUCUCCCAGCUGAAAAGCUACUCUCCAGUUUCACAGAUGUGCUUGUUGAUGAAACCACACAGAUAAUCUAUUGCUUUCACGUGCCUUCACCGUACUCUAUUUUAGUGUUUGGUACAAAAAAGAAACUUACUGUCUGGAUUCAGCAUAA